rnacentral:rRNA from 1 species
AGAGUUUGAUCCUGGCUAACUCUGGCUAGCGCGCUUUAAAGCGCCCUAGAUCGCUAACACAUGCAAGUCGAACGGUAGCACAGAGAGCUUGCUCUCGGGUGACGAGUGGCGGACGGGUGAGUAAUGUCUGGGAAACUGCCUGAUGGAGGGGGAUAACUACUGGAAACGGUAGCUAAUACCGCAUAACGUCGCAAGACCAAAGAGGGGGACCUUCGGGCCUCUUGCCAUCGGAUGUGCCCAGAUGGGAUUAGCUAGUAGGUGGGGUAAUGGCUCACCUAGGCGACGAUCCCUAGCUGGUCUGAGAGGAUGACCAGCCACACUGGAACUGAGACACGGUCCAGACUCCUACGGGAGGCAGCAGUGGGGAAUAUUGCACAAUGGGCGCAAGCCUGAUGCAGCCAUGCCGCGUGUAUGAAGAAGGCCUUCGGGUUGUAAAGUACUUUCAGCGAGAGACCUAGCCCCAAUCUCUCAACGGGGGUAGCUAGACUAUAGCCGAUAGCCGCGCUAUAGCCUUUGGGAAAUGCGGUAAUACGGAGGGUGCAAGCGUUAAUCGGAAUUACUGGGCGUAAAGCGCACGCAGGCGGUCUGUUAAGUCAGAUGUGAAAUCCCCGGGCUCAACCUGGGAACUGCAUUUGAGACUGGCAGGCUUGAGUAGAGACCUCGCGCGAUAUAGCGCGUAUAGACCCUUGUAGAGGGGGGUAGAAUUCCAGGUGUAGCGGUGAAAUGCGUAGAGAUCUGGAGGAAUACCGGUGGCGAAGGCGGCCCCCUGGACAAAGACUGACGCUCAGGUGCGAAAGCGGUAGUCCACGCCGUAAACGAUGUCGACUUGGAGGUUGUGCCCUUGAGGCGUGGCUUCCGGAGCUAACGCGGCCCUGAGUACGGCCGCAAGGUUAAAACUCAAAUGAAUUGACGGGGGCCCGCACAAGCGGUGGAGCAUGUGGUUUAA